CCAAAACUAGCUUAGUUACGGCUGCUGAGAUGACGCCUACAAAAUUUCCCUUCUAAUGUAGCCUCAGCCCCAUAGCACAGCCUUCUUCAUUUGAUUUAGCUCAGUUUCUCUUUCCACUGUUUCAAAUACUAACCCAGGUUCUCCCAGACCAACUGGUCAGGCACCAUAUUCUGCAAUCAGUUCUAGUUUUAAUUAUUUUUUUCUACAGGUCUUAAUGUGCAGGCCUGAAUAUCUCUCAUCCAGUUCUUUUAAAAACUGAAAAUCUCCAUCCUUGAGAGAUUUAGGAGGAUCCUCUUUCUCAUUCUUCCUGAAGACCCCAAAUGACUUCUCAAUGCUCUUUCCCCCUAAAACCCAUAAUCCCCCCAAUAAUUCAUGAGACCCAAGACACCAACAUUCCACCUCCUUUACCCCCAAAUCCCCCGGACUUAGCUUUACCAUCUCCUCCUUGUAGUCUCCAGGCUUCUGUUUCACCCCCACCUCCGCCCCCGCCCCCUCCACCACCCCCUCUCCCACCCCCUCCACCCUCUGCUGUGGAGGUUGCUCUCCCUCAUGUCUACGGCCUGAAGAACAGCCGGCUCCUGAAGGAGGCCUUGGAGAAGGCUGGCCCAGCUCCAAAAGGCAAAGUUGAUGUAAAGAGACUCCUGAAGCUGCACAAGGACAGGUAGGGUCACCACCCCCCUGCCAGCCCAGAUCUCAGACAGCCACCUGUUUACAAAUCACCAUAGCCACGCUGUUCUUUGCUUGCCCAUUUCCUCCAUCUCAAACAGCCAGAUAGGCCCCUGCUUAGCUCUUCAGUGGUUGGCCUCCAGCGAGAGAGAACAGCUUCUGCUCAUGCCUGGUUCUGAGCAGAAGCCAGUGACUGACUCCCAGAGUAGCCAGAGUUAUAAUGGGGCCCGA
rnacentral:lncRNA from 1 species